UGGAAGUGUCUUGCUUUGUUCGUGUGUCGUUUUUCAAUUUUUCUAGUUGAAUUGUGCAAGUCAAUAUAGUGUGCGUCGUAGGCUAGAUUUGUGUGCUUAAAAUCGAUCUAGGCCAGCCGACGGCUAUAUUUCCUUCCAAACGCCAGGUCAGCGGAAUCCCCCGGACGAAAGACCCCGGCAACCGUCAUCUUGUCCGGUGGGAAGCGAUUCGUCCUUAUAUCGCUUCAGUGGGGAGUGUGGUUGUCCAUUGCCACCAUCGACCAAGCCGCCAUUCGAGACACGUGGAAGUCGCCAACUGCCAUUCAUUGGCCCACGUGGUGGCCCUCAAUCGUCAACCGCCAGCGGCGGUAACAGCAGCGCAGGAUACAGAAGCAGUAACCAUCUGGUGAGUCCGGACCAAUUAUUCUUGCGUGAAGUGUGGCGUCCGCUGAGGACGCCACGGAGAAGUUUUUUGUGCCAACCGUAGGUUGAAGAGCAUGACUUGCUAAAAAGUUCGAACUUUGGAUGAAUUGAGGUUGGGUGUCGGCGAGAAACUAGAACGUGCGCACGUACCGUAAUUUAUGGCCGCCCACCCAACCCAAUCAGAUUAGACACCCGGGUGCAACAGCAUUAGCCGUUUCGUUGCUGCAUCGAUGUCACAUCGCUGGUAAUGAAGAAACAAGCACAACAGCACAGAUAGAGUAGUUAAAACGCACACAGAUAGUAUAGGAUAGGUUAAAGAGGAGAGGAAGAAAUCUACA